rnacentral:siRNA from 1 species
AGGGGACUGUACCAUCAAAACUUA